rnacentral:rRNA from 1 species
AUGUCAGGUAGUAAGAGUAUAAUGGAGCGUUUUCUGAAUUUGAAAAGAAAAUCACCACCACCCACAAGCAAUGAUCCUAGUCAUGAUGAAAGUCCAUCAAACGUUAGACGUACUAUACGCCCAUGUCCUUUGCCGGCCACUUCAACUCCAAGCAGGAUAGGAGGUAAAGUUAGAGCAGACCAGGUAGAUUUGGAUAAGCUACCCCACGAUCCAGCCGAUAGGAGGAGAAUAUCAGAAUAUAUAGGACCAAAGCUACAAGAUGAAGUAAGGCGGAGAUAUUUGAUUAGAGGUCCGCAUAGGCCACAACCUGGCUUCAAGUAUCCACAGAAGAGGAUAGGCAAUAUUUUACGCCGGUUUAAUCAUAAAUGGUUUGGAGACUAUCACUGGCUAGAGUACAGUGAGGAGAAGCAUGCUGCCUUUUGCUUACAUUGCUACUUGUUCAGAGAUUCCAUUGAAGGACAAGGAGGGAAUGACGCAUUUGUAGUUGACGGUUUUGAUUGUUGGAACAAGCCGGAAAGACUUCGUGACCAUGUGGGCAAAUCUCCUAAUAGUUUUCAUAAUACGACAGUCAAAAGAUGUGAUAAUUUGCUGAAACAUAACCAAUCAGUUGUUAUUGCUCUCGACAAGCAAAGCAAAGUCACUGAAAAGGAGUAUAUGAUUCGAUUGAACAAUUCCAUAAGUGCUGCUCGAUACUUGCUGCAUCAAGGUCUAGCAUUCCGUGGUCAUGAUGAAUCAGAAGAGUCUAAGAACAAAGGAAAUUUUCGAGAGUUAUCAAUUCUUUUGGCAGAGCAAAAUGAGAACACAAAGAGAGUUGUGUUAAGAGAUGCGCCUGGAAAUAAUAAACUGAUAGCUCCAGAAAUUCAGAAGGACAUUGCUGAAUGCUAUGCAGAGAUCAUAGUCAAAUCUAUUGUUGCUGAAAUUGGUGGUGGAGUUUUCUGUUUAUUGGUUGAUGAGUCCGCAGAUGUUUCAGGCAAGGAACAAAUGGCUGUAGUUUUGCGGUAUGUCGACGAGUUCGGAGCAGUCCAAGAAAGACUUAUUGGUGUUGUUCAUGUGAAUGAGACAUCUGCUUCAUGUCUCAAAUCCGGCAUUGAUCAGUUGUUCAAGAAGUAUGGAUUGAACGUAAAACAAGUUCGAGGCCAAGGGUACGACGGGGCUAGCAACAUGAGAGGUGAGUUCAAUGGCUUGAGAGCUUUGAUCAUGAGGGAGAAUAGCUCAGCAUAUUAUGUUCACUGCUUCGCUCACCAACUCCAGUUAGUCAUUGUGGCAGUAGCUAAAAAGAAUGAUGAUGUUAGUGACUUCUUUGACAUGAUAGCCCUUCUGCUUAAUGUGGCCGGAGCUUCUUGUAAACGAAAAGACUUGAUUAGGGAGAGUCAGCAAGAAAGAGUGAAGAAAGGUAUUGGUUGUGGACAACUUAGUACUGGAACGGGAUUAAAUCAAGAGCUAUCACUUCAAAGAGCUGGAGACACUCGUUGGGGUUCUCACUAUAAAACUCUUCGGAGCAUACUUAACUUGUUCCCAGAUGUUAUUGAAGUACUCAAGUAUGUUGAAAAAGAUGGGCCAAGUGAUGCAAAGAAGCGUCAAGCUCGUGGUCUUUUAGAUUAUGUUACUGAUUUUGACUUCGUGUUUCAUCUACACUUGAUGUUUCUUAUCUUGGGACAUGCAAAUGCUUUAUCUCUAUCUUUACAGAGGAAAGAUAAGGACAUCUUGGAGGCUAUGGUAGAGGUGAAGUUAACCAAGCAAAAAUUUCAGAAAAUCAGAGAUGACGGUUGGGAGUCUCUAUUGGAGAGAACUCACUCAUUUUGUGAGCUGUAUGAUAUUCCUAAGUUGGAUAUGGAAGAAGAGUAUAUAGACCGGCAUAAACCAAGGAAAAAAACCAACCACACUAACUAUCAGCACUACAGAUAUGAUUGCCUCAAUCCUGUUAUUGACUUGCAGCUUGCAGAGUUCAAUGAUCGUUUUAAUGAAGUAAAUUCGAGCCUUCUUACCCGAAUGGCUGCAUUCUGUCCAAAAGAUUCCUUUGAAGCUUUCGAUGUUGAGAGCUUAGUUGAUUUGGCUAAGUCCUAUCCAGAUGAUUUUGAUUCUAUCCAGUUGAAGGAACUUGCUCAUGAGCUUCCUUUCUACAUUGAUAAUGUGCGAGCAGACGAAAGAUUUACAGGCCUGAAAACUAUUUCUGAACUUGGUAAGCUGAUGGUUAGUACAAAUAAGCAUCUUGCUUUUCCUUUGGUCUAUCAGCUCCUGAAGCUAGUAUUAGUGCUGCCUGUCGCAACUGCAUCAGUGGAGAGAUGUUUCUCUGGAAUGAAAAUAGUGAAGACUGUGCUACGUAAUCGCAUUGGUGAUGAUUUCAUGAACUACUGUAUCAUUUGUUUCUUGGAGCAAAGACUUCUAUAUUCAACUUCACGUAAGGAUGUAAUAGAUUACUUUUUGAAGAUGAAAGAACAUAGAGGUCAAGAAAAAUAG